rnacentral:scRNA from 1 species
CCGGAGCCUGGGAGAUCGGCAAGAACUACCUG